UACGGAGGGUACGAGCGUUGUCCGGAAUCACUGGGCGUAAAGGGCGCGUAGGCGCCCUGGCAGUCGGUGGUGAAAGCCCGUGGCUCAACUGCGGGUCGGCCACCGAUACUCCAGGGGCUCGAGUUUGGUAGAGGCAGAUGGAAUUCCGGGUGUAGCGGUGGAAUGCGUAGAGAUCCGGAAGAACACCGGUGGCGAAGGCGGUCUGCUGGGCCAAGACUGACGCUGAGGCGCGACAGCGUGGGGGAGCAAACAGG
rnacentral:rRNA from 1 species